rnacentral:rRNA from 1 species
UACGUAGGGUGCGAGCGUUGUCCGGAAUUAUUGGGCGUAAAGAGCUCGUAGGCGGUGUGUCACGUCGUUCGUGAAAACCUGCAGCUUAACUGUGGGCGUGCGGUCGAUACGGGCAUCACUGGAGUUCGGCAGGGGAGACUGGAAUUCCUGGUGUAGCGGUGAAAUGCGUAGAUAUCGGGAGGAACACCGGUGGCGAAGGCGACCAUCUGGACGGAUACUGACGCUGAGACGCGAAAGCGUGGGGAGCAAACGGG